AAUAUGAAUCUUCUUUGAUGUAAUAUGUCAUUGCUUUUUUCUGCCACACUUUGAGAUAGGCCCUAAAUCCAAUGACAAGAGAAACACGGAGAAGACAGAGGAAAGAGGAGGAGGCAAUGUGACCAUGGAGCAGACCACGGAGGAGGGGUGAUGGGUACAUAAGCCAAGGAAGGCCAGUAGCCACCAAAAGUUGGAAAAGGCAAAGAACCUAAUCUCCCCUAAAGCCUUCAGAAGGAGACUGGCCAUACUGACACUUUGAUUUUGGACUUCCAGUUCUCAGAACUGGGAGAGAAUAAACUUCUGUUGUUUUACGCCACCUGAUUUGUGGUAAUUUGUUACAGCAGCCACAGAAGAUGAAUACGCCUCUCACUUUAUCACAAACGUCUUGUAAUGUUAUCAUCAACGCACAUUUUAUUGUAGCAAAAACAAAUGACCAGAAAUUAGGUAAAGGAGGUGGCAAUGGGGGCCAAGAGGAAGAAACAGAAGAAAAAAUUUUGAAGACAGAGCAAAAUUAGAAAUUUAUAUUCAUGAAACAGACAAUUCAGAUACGGUUUUCCUCUUCCUUUUGAAUUUUGUCUGAUAUUGCGGUUUAUUUUUUUCUAUCUGUAGUGGGGAGAGAGUUAAAGAAUAGACUUUAUCAACCCUUGGUUGUGAAUUAGAAAACAGGCAAGGAUCACUACGGCAGUUCCAGGACCACAGUCGCAGAAGUUAAGAAGAGACAGUAACAAAUCUUUUGAAACUUUUUAAUUCCACAAGGAUACAAAUUAUGUUUUAGCCUUAUCAAUAAUCACCUAAGACUCAUCUUUUUCUUAAAUACAGGCUCAAAAGUAUAUCAUUAUAAUAAGAGACUGUGAAUUUUCUUUUGUCCUAGGUGGAGUAUAUUAAUGCUACUGUUUACCUGAGUAUAUAAAGAUCUUGUUUUUGUUCUUUUACAUUGUAUUUUAGAAAAAUAUUCACUUAAGUUAACUAACUUAAGUAUGUUUUUACUUCUUUAGUUAUACAAAUGUUUUAAUAUAAACAUACAUAAGAUGUAAAUACUCAUAACCUAAUAGGUGAACAAGUUUUUUCAUUAAAUAGGGACAGUGAUCUAUACUUAAGAAUUAAAGUAGUGUGACUAUUAGAAAAGAGAUAUCAGUCAUUUAAAUGCAUCUUAGGAAAUAUACUGAACUAAUGUAUAUAGAAAGAUUGUUUCAAUUUCAUCCAAGAAAAUAAUUCAACCUUUUAUAUUUAACAAUGGCUUGCUAUUUUGAUGUUUCCAUCUAUUAAAUUUUCA
rnacentral:lncRNA from 1 species